AGAGACUUACGAAGUGGUACAGUAACAGACAAAACAAGGCGCCAAAGACCGGAGGCGCAACUGGCUGUGAGAAGCCAGAUUGAAGGUUAGGGCUACCUGCCCGGCUGCCGGGAGCGGUGGGCCCAGACAGGGUCUCCCUGUGAAGUUCAGGCUGGGACUGCAGGCAUGUGCCCCCAUACUGACUUCCACUGUGUUCUGCUGAAGGACUUCCCAGAGCUCUGGAUGUACAAGUGUGAGAAGAAGCUGCUAAGGUGGGUUGCACGGAGCUUGCUAUCUACUUCUCAGGCUCAGAACACCCCGAAUACCCCACCUGCAGAGACUGCCAAGGACAGUCUCAAAGAAAUGGAACUUUAGAUAAGACCCACAUCUGCCAAGGCCAGGAGGCAGAAUUCCAAUUACCAGACUUCUUCACAGAUGCAUCUGGAAGACACAUUUCAGCUGCACACCAGAUAUAAAGAGACAACCAGUCACUACACGCUCUCUCUGCUUGGGUUUCUCUCCCCUUCCAUCCUCUCUGACUUUCUCUUUUUCUGUCUUUCUCUUCUCCUGCGCUCUCCCACUGUCUCUGUCUGUCUGUCUCUCUCUCCACACUUCUGCACAAUAAAUCUCUUCAUUCCAGA